AGGUCACUCCCACGCAGGCAAGGACUUUACCGGUCCUGUCACUGCUCUGUCCCCAAGCUCACUGCCCGCAUGUGACGGUGCACGCUGGGCGCCCCUGCUCCUGCAGAAGCAGGUCACCUAAGCCUCCCGAGGCGGGCCCCAUCCCAGAGACGCCCCCAGAGUCCCACAGAGCACGGACUGGUGCCCGGGUCCUUGUGACAACAAUGUCAGAGUCCUUGGAGCUGUCGUGCCCACCCGGCCCAGGGUCCUUGCUGGAGCGGGGGUGGGGGCUUAUCCAGGUCCCCACUGUGGCCCCCCCGCCCCUCCAGGGGCACCCCUGCCCUCCAGCCCCUUGCACCCAGCACUGGGGCCCGACAACCACCUAGCACAGGAAACAGGGCCGUCAGGGUCACUGACACCUCGGGAGCCCCCAGGACCCCCAGGCCCAUGCCUGUGGACCAGGUGGGAAGGCCCCAGAACUCACCCAGACCACACCUGGCCUCCAGCCCCCGCUCAUCGGUCAGGGGAGGGCCCGAUCAUUCCUCAGUUUCUCCACCUGCAAAAGGAGCACGAGGAGACUGUGAAGCUCAGCGCAUACAGGUGGACGCCACCCACCGCCCCGACCCGGGUAGACCAGGGAGCUGGACCCCAGCAAACCCAGGCUAGGAGGAGGCGGCCAGGGCGGGCCUCUGGGCAGGUGUGCGGAGCGGGCACAGGCCAGGUGUGGAGGGGUGCUCUAAGCACAGGGGCGACGGCCCCGUGGAGGCCCGAGGCAGGACGGGAGGGCAGAGGGCAGAGGGCAGGGCUCAGCUGGACUUGUCCUGUAAGAACCUUGGAGCCACUGGGUGAUGGAGUCAGGGUCUGUCGCUGGGGUACAGGGAGCCUGCAGGACGGACCCUGGAAGCAGGGGCCCCCGGAGCACGGAGCAGGGCGGCUGGCCCACCGUCUACUGGUGUCCCCCGGGUCCCCGCCACCCACCCUCACCCACAGGCCAGGGUCCCACGCAGGACCCAUCCCCCCUCCCCAGGCCCUUGCGGCCCCCUCACGACUCCUCUUUGCCCACAGCCACGCCUUCUGCUU
rnacentral:lncRNA from 1 species